rnacentral:rRNA from 1 species
UACAGGGGGGGGCAAGCGUUGUUCGGAAUUACUGGGCGUAAAGGGCUCGUAGGUGGCCAACUAAGUCAGACGUGAAAUCCCUCAGCUUAACUGGGGAACUGCGUCUGAUACUGGAUGGCUUGAAUCCGGGAGAGGGAUGUGGAAUUCCAGGUGUAGCGGUGAAAUGCGUAGAUAUCUGGAGGAACACCGGUGGCGAAGGCGGCCUGCUGGGCAGUUGCUGACACUGAGGCGCGACAGCGUGGGGAGCAAACAGG